GUGUCAGCAGCCGCGGUAAUACGUAGGUGGCAAGCGUUGUCCGGAUUUACUGGGCGUAAAGGGAGCGUAGGUGGAUAUUUAAGUGGGAUGUGAAAUACUCGGGCUUAACCUGAGUGCUGCAUUCCAAACUGGAUAUCUAGAGUGCAGGAGAGGAAAGUAGAAUUCCUAGUGUAGCGGUGAAAUGCGUAGAGAUUAGGAAGAAUACCAGUGGCGAAGGCGACUUUCUGGACUGUAACUGACACUGAGGCUCGAAAGCGUGGGGAGCAAACAGGAUUAGAAACCCUGGUAGUCC
rnacentral:rRNA from 1 species